rnacentral:rRNA from 1 species
AACGCUGACGGUGUGCAUAAUACAUGCAAGUCAAACGGGCGAUAAGAAAGUGGCAACACUUUUUUAAAGCAAGUGGCGAACGGGUGAGUAACGCGUGGGUAAUCUGCCUUGAAGAUUGGGAUAACUCCUUGAAAGAGGAGCUAAUACCGGAUGUGCUAUGUUUUUCUCAUGUUAGGCAUAGUAAAGGUAGCCGCAAGGCCUCCGCUUCAAGAUGAGCCCGCGUCCUAUUAGCUUGUUGGUAGGGUAAUUGCCUACCAAGGCUAUGAUGGGUAGCCGGUCUGAGAGGAUGGUCGGCCACAUUGGGACUGAGAUACGGCCCAGACUCCUAUGGGAGGCAGCAGUAGGGAAUAUUGCGCAAUGGGCGAAAGCCUGACGCAGCGACACCGUGUGAAGGAUGAAGAUUUUCGGAUUGUAAACUUCUGUCAAUUGGAGACGAAGGCACUAGGGUUAAUAGCUAUUAGUGCUGACGGUACCCAAAAAGGAAGUCUCGGCUUACUCCGUGCCAGCAGCCGCGGUAAUACGUAGGGGGCAAACGUUACUCGGAAUUACUGGGCGUAAAGGGUGCGUAGGCGGCUGGGAAAGUCAAGGAUGAAAUCCCGUGGCUCAACUGCGGAACGGUCCUUGAAACUACUCGGCUUGAGGAUAACCGAAGAGAACAGAAUUCCCGGUGGAGCGGUGAAAUGCGUAGAUAUCGGGAGGAACACCUGAGGCGAAAGCGGUUCUCUAGACUACUCCUGACGCUGAGGCACGAAAGCUAGGGGAGCAAACGGGAUUAGAUACCCCGGUAGUCCUAGCCAUCAACUAUGGAUACUGGAUAUUCCUGCACUCAUGUGGGAGUGUCGAAGCCAACGCGUUAAGUAUCCCGCCUGGGGAGUACGGUCGCAAGAUUGAAACUCAAAGGAAUUGACGGGGGCCCGCACAAGCGGUGGAGCAUGUGGUUUAAUUCGACGCAACGCGAAGAACCUUACCUGGGCUUGAACUGUCGGUAUAGGGACCCGAAAGGGCGACGAUCCCGGGCAACCGGGAAGCCGAUAGAGGUGCUGCAUGGCUGUCGUCAGCUCGUGUCGUGAGAUGUUGGGUUAAGUCCCGCAACGAGCGCAACCCUUGUCUUUAGUUGCCAGCGAGUCAUGUCGGGCACUCUAAGGAGACUGCCUCGGAUAACGAGGAGGAAGGUGGGGAUGACGUCAAGUCAGCAUGGCCUUUAUGUCCAGGGCUACACACGUGCUACAAUGGGCGGUACAGAAGGACGCGAGACCGCGAGGUCAAGCCAACCCUUAAAACCGUUCUCAGUUCGGAUUGCAGGCUGCAAUUCGCCUGCAUGAAGUCGGAAUCGCUAGUAAUCGCGGAUCAGCUACGCCGCGGUGAAUACGUUCUCGGGCCU